GGAAGGGUGGCAGAGCGGCUGAAUGCACCGGUCUUGAAAACCGGCGAUGGGCAACCAUCCGUGGGUUCAAAUCCCACCCCUUCCGCCA
rnacentral:tRNA from 1 species